UACGUAGGGUGCGAGCGUUAAUCGGAAUUACUGGGCGUAAAGCGUGCGCAGGCGGUUCGUGAUGUCUGAUGUGAAAGCCCCGGGCUCAACCUGGGAAUGGCAUUGGAAACUAGCGGGCUGGAGUGUGGCAGAGGGGGGUGGAAUUCCACGUGUAGCAGUGAAAUGCGUAGAGAUGUGGAGGAACACCGAUGGCGACGGCAGCCCCCUGGGCUAACACUGACGCUCAUGCACGAAAGCGUGGGGAGCAAACAGG
rnacentral:rRNA from 1 species